rnacentral:tmRNA from 3 species
GGGGGCGACCGGUAUUGACAGCUUGUGCAGGUCGGUGGUAAGCACGUCGGGAGUUGGUCUGAUCUCCUGUUAAAAAUUAGUCCGAAAAACAACCGGCAAUACUCAGUAUGCCAUGGCAGCUUAAUCCUUAAGGGAUUUCGUUUUGGAUAGUUAUCAACGGAGUUGGAGCUAUUCGCCACACCCCACUCGGCUAAACUCUGCCGCUGGGAUACGGGGUGUCGAAACGCAGAGUCGAAUGUUGUGAUUUCUCUAAGCAAACAUUUAGUACAGAGAGGAUAAGGAUAGAUUAAGGUCCGGCUUGAACCCUGCCUAUCUCGAAAAAAUAAUCAAGACUAAACGUGAAGAAAGCUAUCGAGUUCCUUGUCUGGACGAGAGUUCGAAUCUCUCCGUCUCCACAU